UACGGGGGGGGCAAGCGUUGUUCGGAAUUACUGGGCGUAAAGGGCUCGUAGGCGGCCAACUAAGUCAGGCGUGAAAUCCCUCGGCUUAACCGGGGAACUGCGUCUGAUACUGGAUGGCUUGAGUUUGGGAGAGGGAUGCGGAAUUCCAGGUGUAGCGGUGAAAUGCGUAGAUAUCUGGAGGAACACCGGUGGCGAAGGCGGCAUCCUGGACCAACACUGACGCUGAGGAGCGAAAGCGUGGGGAGCAAACAGG
rnacentral:rRNA from 1 species